rnacentral:rRNA from 1 species
UACAGGGGGGGGCAAGCGUUGUUCGGAAUUACUGGGCGUAAAGGGCUCGUAGGCGGCCAACUAAGUCACACGUGAAAUCCCCAGGCUUAACCUGGGAACUGCGUGUGAUACUGGAUGGCUUGAAUCCGGGAGAGGGAUGCAGAAUUCCAGGUGUAGCGGUGAAAUGCGUAGAUAUCUGGAGGAAUACCGGUGGCGAAGGCGGCAUCCUGGACCGGCAUUGACGCUGAUGAGCGAAAAGCUAGGGGGAGCAAACGGGAUUAGAAAACCCC